ACACAGUGGUCACGAAUUUACUUCAAAGUAAAUUCGUGACCACUGUGUUA
rnacentral:precursor_RNA from 1 species